AUUCUCUUUGUAGCAAUUGUGAAUGGGAGUUCAUGAUUUGGCUCUCUGCUUGCCUGUUGUUAGUGUGUAGGAAUGCUUGUGACUUCUGCAGAUUGAUUUUGUAUCCUGAGACUUUGUUGAAGUUGUUUAUCAGCUUAAGAAGUUUUUGGGCUGAGACAAUGGGGUUUUCUAGAUAUAGGAUCAUGUCAUCUGCAAACAAAGACAUUUUUACUUCCUCCCUUCCUAUUUGAAUACGCUUUAUUUCUUUCUCUUGCCUGAUUGCCCUGGCCGGAACUUCCAAUACUAUGUUGAGUAGGAGUGGUGAGAGAGGGCAUCCUUGUCUUGUGCCGAUUUUCAAAGGGAAUGCUUCCGGCUUUUGCCCAUUCAGUAUGAUAUUGGUUGUGGGUUUGUCAUAAAUGGCUCUUAUUAUUUUGAGGUACUUCAAUACCUAGUUUGUUGGGAGUUUUUAACAUGAAGGGAUGUUGAAUUUUAUUGAAGGCCUUUUCUGCACCUAUUGAGAUAAUCAUGUGGUUUUGUCUUUAGGUCUGUUUAUGUGAUGAAUUACGUUUAUUGAUUUACAUAUGUUGAACUAGCCUUGCAUCCUGGGAAUGAAGGCUACUUGAUCGUGGUGGAUGAGCUUUUUGAUAUGCUGCUGGAUUCAGUUUGCCAGUAUUUUAUUGAGAAUUUUUGCAUCGAUGUUCAUCAGGGAUAUUGGCCUGAAGUUUUCUUUUUUUUGUUGUAUCUCUGCCUGGUUUUGGUAUCAGGAUGAUGCUG
rnacentral:lncRNA from 10 species